GACGUAGGUGGCGAGCGUUACUCGGAUUCACUAGGCGUAAAGCGCGUGUAGGCGGAUGCCUAAGUCCGUUGUGAAAUUUCCCGGCUCAACCGGGAAGGGUCAAUAGAUACUGGGUGUCUUGAGUGGGGCAGAGGAAACCGGAAUUCCCGGUGUAGCGGUGAAAUGCGUAGAUAUCGGGAAGAACACCAGCGGCGAAAGCGGGUUUCUGGGCCUUCACUGACGCUGAGACGCGAAAGCUAGGGGAGCAAACAGGAUUAGAUACCCGCGUA
rnacentral:rRNA from 1 species